rnacentral:ncRNA from 1 species
AGCUACAUGACUGACGGAAAUGUGGAUAACCACAGGGGAGUGUAGCAGUGUGAGCCGACCGUCUGGGCAU